AGAAAGUUAGUCUAACUAAGACAACUGAUUUCGACUCAGUAAACCAUAGCCCACCCCUAUGACUUUCUU
rnacentral:tRNA from 1 species